CCAGGGACGGGGAGUCUGGUCGGCUGCCGUCUAUCGGCUCGCACAGGGUCGGAUACGACUGAAGCGACUUAGCAGCAGUAGCAGCAGCAGCAAGUUCUGAGACUUCCUUUCAGCGGGUUUGGCAGCCAGAGGAAAGGCGUCGCUGCUCAGAUAUCAAGUUGGUGCUCCUUGAGCAGUGCACUAAGAAAUCUUCAAUCUGAGUCCUUGCCAGAGACCUUUUGUUCUGUGGUAAACCCGGAACCUUGCGUUUUCUGGUUUCCCCUGAGUAUUGUGCUUUCUUUUGCACAGAAACUUGAGCGAGCCCAGUUUUACAAAGAAAAGGCGUUUACGGAGGCAUUUGAAGCAGAGAAUGAGAGCGAGUUGGGGCCGAUUUUACAGAUUCGGGCUCGUUUCUGGCGCGAUGAAGGGACAGCUCACGGAAAGGGGAAUUUGGCGGCGGCGGUGGGACGACUGGACGGUGUUGGGGACGCCCUGCGGAGCAGGAGGUGCGAAUUUGACGCCUGGUCUGGGAAUUAAGAUCCCACAAGCAGUGCUGUGCAGUCAAAAAGAAGGGAAGACGAUGGAAGAGAGAGAGGGAGAGAGGAACCAGAGGAAGAAGAGGCAGUGUCCUGUACAAAGCGUUGAGGGCAUUUACCACGUCUGAUCUUUUCAUUUUCUUUGGGAAGAAUUAUAUAGGUGAAAUGAAAAUUGCCCAGAUUUCAUUGGCAAUGUGAAGCCUUUCUUUGUAAGACACAUAUGGUCUUGCAAAUAAAAGGGCAUUUCUUGUCU